rnacentral:lncRNA from 1 species
UCGGAUCUGAGGCAGGCCGCCGCAUCCUCGCCACCUCCAGCUACAUCAGCUACGGCGCCCUCAAGCGCGACACCGUGCCUUGCUCCCGUCGCGGCGCCUCCUACUACAACUGCCGCCCCGGCGCCCAGGCCAACCCCUACUCCCGCAGCUGCUCCGCCAUCACCCAGUGCCGCGGUGGAUGAGAGAAAAGCCAGAAAAAAAAAAGGAAGGAGAAGAACCAAUUUGGUAUGUAUUUGGUCACUCUGUUCGAGGUUUAAGUGAUUGGUGUUGUGUGUCAUGAAGCCAUUGUUGUAGCAGAUUUACUAUUUGGUUAUAAUUCUACUUUUUGUUUCCUUUUAAUGCAUCUUUCAGAAAAGAAUUGAUGAUUAAGACUUAGACUUAGUAGUUUCCUGGAAGAUAUCAAUAAUUUAUGUGUAAUUGAGAUGUUCUGCCUUGAUCUUUCAUAAGCUCUGUGUUGUCAUUUAUGAAGCCAUUGUUCUAGCAGUGUUGCUAUUUAGUUAUACUUCUGUACUCUUUCCUUCCGAUGCAUUUUAUCUCUGCAAAAGAAGACAUUUUUCAGGAAAAGAUAGAUGAUUUAGUCUAUGUGGGUUUUAUGUGUAAUUGAGUUUGAUCUUUCAAUUUGAUGUUCAUCAGGAAGAGGUGGGAGGGAAGAGGAAGGGGGGGGGGGGGGGGAAUCAUUAAAAGUUGAUCUGUUUAGAAUUUAUGCCUAGGAAAUGAUGAUAUGGAGCUUUGAUUGUUGGUAAUACAGUGAGAUUGGUGGGGGAAAUAAAUGCUUGUUUAAGGGUAAUGGAGUUGAAUUAUUGGUGAUAUUGACCUUUGGUAGUUGGUUGUCCCCCCUCACUGUUGUUCUUUGGAUGGAAGAGAAGGAUGACAGAUGGAGUGUCAAUGGGGAGAAGAGAAGCCCAAAGGAUCAUGGCAUUUAUAAAAUAAUCAUGAAAUUACUGGUCUCUUAUGGCUUUGAUAGGAUAGGUCAUGUGAAAUUUAGAGAGAGAGAGUAAAUUGGCAAAGAUUUGGCCAUGUUUACUACAAGCAAUCUCUUUGAAAGAUAAGCUUUCUAUGCAUAAAUGGAUUGAUGAUAAUGCAGAAGAGACUAACAGGACUAUAAAAAAAAAAUUUACAUGACAAUUUUACACCCUUCAGUAUUUAUUGUGAUGUUGAACAAUUCAAAUAUAGUGCUUUAUAUGUCUAGGAACAGAAAGCAUAGUAGCAGAAUUCAAAGUCCUUGUUCUGUUUUUGGUUUACUCCACCCACAGUCCCCAUCUCUUAGGUUAUAUAUUGAGGCCAGUUCUAACUUUGAACAUGGAAGGUGGUGAAGAAAAGAAAGAUGCUUUUCUCAACUAGAAAGAAGAAGCCUUACUGAUGCAGCUGAGUUUUCAUAUUAGUAAUUCCUGUUUUCAUGCCCAAAUAGUGUUGCCAAGACAAAAACUAUAUAAAUGUUGCUGAUGCAACUAUGAUUUUUCAUGCUAUUGAUUCCUAUUCUUGUUGUCUAGCUUUCAAAACCAACUUAAAUGCCUGAUUUCUACUAUCAGAAAUUAGCUACACAUGCUAUUAAAACCUUCAGAGCAGGACCAUUCAUUCAUAUGAUCAAUAAUGUUUCCAAUAAAAUAAUCUUGACUAGUAAAACAUUAAAAUCUAUUUGGUUCCCUGUAUUAACUGUCUACUUCAACUUUUUAUGAGGAAAGAAGAGAUUCUGUUCACCCAUAAGCCAUGGAAGAUGAGAAGGGGUCCAAAGAGACUUCCAGAUGAUUGUGGCAGACAAAUGAUCAGUUGUGUCAAGUGUCACUUUUGGGUUGUUGCCCUCCCAAAGAUGGCAUUUCUGGUGGGGAUAUCACCUAUAUUUUAAGGCAUUUAUGACCUACCAAGGUCAAUAGGACUGACAGAUACAAUCAUAGGACCAGAAACACAUCAUCCAUAAAAGACCCAUAUAAACCGACAACGGCAGCUAUACGAACCAACCAAUUAGCAAGUCCCAUCAGCUACCAACAGUGACACUGCAACGAUAGUGUCCUUUUAGACACACGCUGAUUUAUUGUCUAGAUUUUGUGUUAUCAGCGAUUUGUAAAGGAGGAACAAAGGACAAAAGAAACUCAUCUUGAUUUGUUUUGGUCUCUAUCUUGAGAUAAGUGUUCGGUGGUGAUCAUAAGGGAGGGGUUCUAUUUUUCUUGUAAAAGCGAACCUGGUCAUGCGUUCUUGUUUUUGUUCCUAAUGCAGAAAGUUGUAACAAAAGGAGUUUAUAAUUUACAGAAAUCUCUCUAUACAAAAAAUAAGACAAUAAAAUUUUACCAAGCAGCUUCAGUAUUAAAUUUGAUGUAUUAGAUCUGCACUAGAUCACUGAAUCAACUGGGGACCAUCUAAUGUGGUUAAAUCUGGUCAUGCUGGUGAUUCCUCAGGUGUUCCCUCUAAGCCACCAAUUAAUCUUCCUUGUUAGAUCUGGGUUAGACUCCAUAAGAUCUAAGGGGUUCAUGGCCUGUACCGACACGAACGAGCAAUCACAACAAAUCAUAAUAUCACAAAUAAUAUUUGAGAUCAGUUACAUAAGUCUUUUUGUUGCCAUUCAACUUCCUAAAAAAAAGGUGCCACUAAUACAAGAACAAGAGAACAAACAUGAAAAAGAAAUCAGAAUUCAGCGUUGUUGUCUGGGAGCCACCUGAAGGCCUUUCUGUGAACAGUAAGUUGAUUGUACCACCCAUUACUCUUUCAGACACAUGUUUGGUAACUUCUGUUGGCUUUCUCUGCUUCUUGUCAAAGUUCCAUCAAUGUUCUGUGAAGUUGAUGUUUUUUACCUUGUGCUGUUCCAAACAUCUUCUGACAAUUAAUUUUUAUUCAUUAGUUUUCUUUUUUCUUUCAUUUAGAGUUUCUUUGAUCUUUAUAGAGUUGGUUUAGAUGGCAUGUCAUGACACUGGAAUCUUUGACAAGUCUAACAAAAGUUGAUACUUUUGCAGAUUAAUUUUGCUAAUCAUAGAUGUCAAAUAAAGGUCUAAAGUAAAAUAGAGCUAAAAAUGAACUGUUAUCACUUACCUUUCCAACUAAUUUUGUUUUGUUCUCGUUGAAGCUAAGAAACCAGAGCUUUUCUUUGUGCACUGUAAUUGUGCUUUAACUAAUAUCACCGGUUAUUUCAGUCAAAUGUGAGUCUUUGCGUUGUGAAUCUUUGUUUCUUUGUCACUCAUUCAUGUUUUUCAACAGUUUCGAGCUGCCGUAUUGGUGAAAAUAUCAUGCACUGAUCAUCUUUCAUCACAAGCUUUCACGCGUAACACCAUGCCCUUACAGAUGCUCCAAGUCAAUUAAUUCCUCUUUGGUAACUCGCCUUCAAUGUCAUUCCAUGUUGGGUAGGUUAAACUAGAAAUAAACGCACUAGUCUAUCUUUGGAUGAUUCAAAUCUUGUUGGGUUUCAGUAUCCAAUGCUUGACUAAGUAGCCAUUUAACGAAUAAUUUUAAAUCAAAGAAUUUAAAGCUUGAAUCCACAAGCAAAACAUACCUGGUCGCUAAUUUGAAAACGAGCAGUCAUCUACAACGGCGAGGAACCAAAUGAUUGACGAGUUGAACUGUUUAUGGCCGACCCACGGAAUCGCAAGGUUUUGGUUGGUCGAUGUGGGACUUUAACAACCAUAUCACACACCAAAAAUCAUCUUGAGCUGAAGCAUGAACGGUCGAUAGAUCGAGAGCUGAAGUU